UUACGGCCAUAUCACGUUUAACACCGGUUCUCGUACGAUCACUGAUGUUAAGCAACGUCAAGCCUGUUCAGUACCUAGAGAGGUGACCGCUUAGGAAUACCAGAUGCUGUAAG